GUGAAAGAAUUUCUCUUUUUAGAAACACAUGCAUUCUUUGGGUUGUUUUAUCAUGGCUUCAACAAUUCCUUAAAGUUAUGAGAAAUAAAAUGGCAAUGUUUCCAUUUCCAUAGAUAAGUAAAACUCCCAUAAGCAUUAUAGUUAUAGUUCUAAUUGUUAGGACAAAUAAAAACUCCCAUAAGCUUUAUAGUUAUAGUCCAAUUGUUAGGACAAGUAAAUGUUUUUGGCUAAAGAUCAACUGUAACUGUUGGUGAAAAGAGAAAGUUAGCAUACAUGAUACUUGCCGUGCACACAUCUCACACUGAUUGGGUGAUAAUUCUUCUUUUUUCCCUCUGCAAAAUCAACUCCAUUGGUAAAAAUAUGUAGCUAGCAUGAAUCUUUUAAGGUUUAUCUUAGACUCUACAUUUAUGUACACAUUUUUUUUUUGUUAUAAAUGGUUGUACUACAAACUCAAACAGUGUCAUAUAACAUCAUUUUCAAAACAAAAAUUUGCAUUCUCAUUUGUCAAGGCACAAUUGGAAAUGAAGAAACUAUUUACUCUCCUAUGUUAUGAGUAGAACUGGAGUUAUCACUUGCAAGAGUAAAUAUGUUAUACUGGACUGUAAUUUGAGAUGAAGAUAUUUUCCAACAUGAUUGGAUACAAAAAUUUUAAGAAAUGCGACUGUAAAAUAGUGGACAUAAAAAAAAUGCUACCUCAAAAAAAAUUGUGCUUUUAGAAUGAUACUGGAAAAUAUUAUUUUCAAAAUUAAAUUCAUAGUGAUGAAACACAAACACAGUUUGCAUGGUGAAUGGCAAAUUUGGUUUCCACAUGAAGCAUGAUCAGCAUUAGUAGUUAAAUUGCAUUCUCUAAGCAUGCUAGCACCUCUGUGGAAUACUUGGCACAUCAUUUGUAAGACCAUACAAACAACAUUUAGCAUGUAUAUUAAUCGUUGUCAUUUUUUAUA
rnacentral:misc_RNA from 1 species